CUACGGGGGGCACCAGUGGGGAAUAUUGGACAAUGGGGGGAACCCUGAUCCAGCCAUGCCGCGUGUGUGAAGAAGGCCUUUUGGUUGUAAAGCACUUUAAGCAGUGAAGAAGACUCUUCGGUUAAUACCCGGGGACGAUGACAUUAGCUGCAGAAUAAGCACCGGCUAACUCUGUGCCAGCAGCCGCGGUAAUACAGAGGGUGCAAGCGUUAAUCGGAAUUACUGGGCGUAAAGCGAGCGUAGGUGGCUUGAUAAGUCAGAUGUGAAAUCCCCGGGCUUAACCUGGGAACUGCAUCUGAAACUGUUAGGCUAGAGUAGGUGAGAGGGAAGUAGAAUUUCAGGUGUAGCGGUGAAAUGCGUAGAGAUCUGAAGGAAUACCGAUGGCGAAGGCAGCUUCCUGGCAUCAUACUGACACUGAGGCUCGAAAGCGUGGGUAGCAAACAGGAUUAGAUACCCGAGUAGUC
rnacentral:rRNA from 1 species